rnacentral:lncRNA from 1 species
ACAGUUAUGGAGGCUGAGAAGUGCAAGUUCAAGAGGCCAGAUCUGGCGAGGGCCUUCCUGUUGGUGAGGACACUGCAGACUCCCCAGAUGGUGCAGGGCAUCACAUGGUCCAGUCUAAUUCCCCUCCCCAGGAAGAGGGAUGAGCCUUUGUGGCUGCCUCCAUAAAUGAAAAUGCGAUGGAAAGGAUGCUGCACGACUUAUGAGGCUAAGUCAUAAGAAGAACUAAAGCUUCUACCCAUUUCCACUUCCUUUUGGGAAACGUGUCUUGGGAGCCCUGAGCCAAUAUGUAAGAAGUCCAGCUAUGUAUAGCCACCAUGCUGCAGAAACCACACAGAGAUAAAGAUUCGUGAGGAGUCUCCCCAUUUCCAGUUCCCAGCUGCUUGAGUCCUCCCACCUCCCAGAAUGAACUGUCAGACAUUUGCUGAGAAUUAGAGGAAGACCUUUGCUCCCACCAAUGUCAACAUUUCUUUACCAGAAAACACAGAGGCAUUUAACUCAUAUUUCGAAGACUUACAGCUUCUUAUAAUGGCCCUGGUGGUUAUACUUUUUGUUCUACUGACUCUAUUUUGUUACAGUUACUCUGCCCACAAAGUGCAAGACCCUUUGUGAUUAUGUUGGGGGACAUCAAUUCAAAUGACACCGUGAUAGCAUUACUGUCAAAUCAUGCUUCCCUCUCAAUGCUGUUGAUGAAGCUGGUGUACCCCAACCCUGUUCUUACAGGUUAAGUUGCUUUUUCCCACUUGAAACAUUGUACAACAGCCAAAAGCUUAUCUGGUCAGUUUUAAUGCGUCCUGCCCCUUCCUAGGACUUAUUGCAAUGACAAACAUAUAAGAGCUGUGAAAACUCUGUGACUUACACACAGUAGGCACCUGGUGUUUUAAGUGCUCUUCCUGAAAUGCUCACUGACAAUAAAACUAUUGAACAGAUCAGGACUGAAAACAUAGCUUUGUUUUGUGCCAGCAAAGACUCUCUUCUCUCCUUUACAGGUUGACAUUGAGCCAUUAAUCAACAGUAUGUUCAACAGUAACUAGUGAGUUAUGAAUCCAACUAUGUGCCUCUAUUU